CCUACGGGAGGCAGCAGUGGGGAAUAUUGGACAAUGGGCGCAAGCCUGAUCCAGCAAUACCGCGUGUGUGAAGAAGGCCUGAGGGUUGUAAAGCACUUUCAAUGGGGAGGAAAACCUACCGGCCAAUACCCGGUGGCUUGACAUUACCCAUACAAGAAGCACCGGCUAACUCCGUGCCAGCAGCCGCGGUAAUACGGAGGGUGCGAGCGUUAAUCGGAAUUACUGGGCGUAAAGCGUGCGUAGGCGGCCCGCCAAGCCAGAUGUGAAAGCCCCGGGCUCAACCUGGGAACUGCAUUUGGAACUGACGGGCUAGAGUUGGGUAGAGGGGGGCGGAAUUUCAGGUGUAGCGGUGAAAUGCGUAGAGAUCUGAAGGAACACCAGUGGCGAAGGCGGCCCCCUGGACCCAAACUGACGCUGAGGCACGAAAGCGUGGGUAGCAAACAGGAUUAGAUACCCUGGUAGUCCACGCCGUAAACGAUGCCGACUAGCCGUUGGCCCUAUAUACAGGGUUAGUGGCGCAGCUACGCAUAGUCGCCGCCGNGGGNGGACGGCCGCGAGUAAACGUACAAGAAGUAGACGCGUGAGACGUGCCGACGGACGACGACGAGGGAGGUAGG
rnacentral:rRNA from 1 species